rnacentral:tRNA from 1 species
GGCCCGCUGGCCUAAUGGUAAGGCGUCAGAUUUCGGUGCACCGGAUCAUAUCCUCUGAAGAUUGUGCGUUCGAGCCGCACGUGGGUCG